rnacentral:rRNA from 1 species
UACGUAGGGUGCAAGCGUUAAUCGGAAUUACUGGGCGUAAAGCGUGCGCAGGCGGUGAUGUAAGACAGAUGUGAAAUCCCCGGGCUCAGCCUGGGAACUGCAUUUGUGACUGCAUCGCUGGAGUGCGGCAGAGGGGGAUGGAAUUCCGCGUGUAGCAGUGAAAUGCGUAGAUAUGCGGAGGAACACCGAUGGCGAAGGCAAUCCCCUGGGCCUGCACUGACGCUCAUGCACGAAAGCGUGGGGAGCAAACAGG